UAGUGAGUGGCGAACGGGUGAGUAACACGUGAGUAACCUGCCCUCUUCUUUGGAUAACGCCCGGAAACGGGUGCUAAUACUGGAUAUUCACUGGCCUUCGCAUGGGGGUUGGUGGAAAGGUUUGUUCUGGUGGGGGAUGGGCUCGCGGCCUAUCAGCUUGUUGGUGGGGUGAUGGCCUACCAAGGCUUUGACGGGUAGCCGGCCUGAGAGGGUGACCGGUCACAUUGGGACUGAGAUACGGCCCAG
rnacentral:rRNA from 1 species